rnacentral:misc_RNA from 1 species
ACGGGCCGAGCUCAAGCUUGACCCUGACAACAAGAACAUUCUGGGCAUCGACCUGAACGGCGACUGCGUCGUUCUCAAGAGUUGAUCACGUGUCGUGACUUUGGCGAAGCUGGCCAAUCCAAAACAUUUUUACUCUCACCCUUAUACCGAUGCUUUGUGUUUUUAAUGUAUUGAGUCUCUAUGACAUGGUUGGAUUGUACACAUUUUACACGUCUUCCAAUAAAUUACUUUACAUUUU